AUUUAAUAGUAUUGAAUAAAAUUACUAACAACGUAUUUUCAAUUAUAUUGGUUCUAUUAAAUUACUAAAACACUAAACAACCAACAUUUGUACCAAAAAAAAUUUGAAUAUUAAUUAUAAAAUUUAUAACUUAUCUGAUUGUAAUCAAAAAAAUUUAUUAUUUUAAUGCACAUUUACUAAAAGCUAAGCUUUAUAAGGCUUAGUUUGGUAUUGAGGUCUAUAUAACGUUAUUAGAUAAAAUAGAGUUGAGGAAAAAGCAUAUAGGGAUAUGCUUCUGCGUUCUCCGGUGGGACCGCAGAAAAUAUAUCGUAACUGACUCGUCGCAAUAUGCAGAACGCAAUAUUACGUACGGAAACAAACAGGAUAUUUUUUCAACGUACUUUCUCACCGCAAUCUCAAAUAAAAUCUAAAUCAAUUUGAAACUAUGUAGAUGGUG
rnacentral:lncRNA from 1 species